rnacentral:rRNA from 1 species
CCGCGUGAGGGAUUAAGGCCUUCGGGUUGUAAACCUCUUUCAGCAGGGAAGGAGCGCAAGUGACGGUACCUGCAGAAGAAGCACCGGCUAACUACGUGCCAGCAGCCGCGGUAAUACGUAGGGUGCGAGCGUUGUCCGGAAUUAUUGGGCGUAAAGAGCUUGUAGGCGGUUUGUCGCGUCUGCUGUGAAAUCUCAAGGCUCAACCUUGAGCUUGCAGUGGGUACGGGCAGACUAGAGUGUGGUAGGGGAGACUGGAAUUCCUGGUGUAGCGGUGAAAUGCGCAGAUAUUAGGAGGAACACCGAUGGCGAAGGCAGGUCUCUGGGCCACUACUGACGCUGAGAAGCGAAAGCAUGGGGAGCGAACAGGAUUAGAUACCCUGGUAGUCCAUGCCGUAAACGUUGGGAACUAGGUGUGGGCCUCAUUCCACGAGGUCCGUGCCGCAGCUAACGCAUUAAGUUCCCCGCCUGGGGAGUACGGCCGCAAGGCUAAAACUCAAAGGAAUUGACGGGGGCCCGCACAAGCGGCGGAGCAUGCGGAUUAAUUCGAUGCAACGCGAAGAACCUUACCAAGGCUUGACAUAUGCGAGAACGCGGCAGAGAUGUCGUUCUCUUUGGACACUCGUAUACAGGUGGUGCAUGGUUGUCGUCAGCUCGUGUCGUGAGAUGUUGGGUUAAGUCCCGCAACGAGCGCAACCCUCGUUCUAUGUUGCCAGCACGUGAUGGUGGGGACUCAUAGGAGACUGCCGGGGUCAACUCGGAGGAAGGUGGGGAUGACGUCAAAUCAUCAUGCCCCUUAUGUCUUGGGCUUCACGCAUGCUACAAUGGCCGGUACAAAGGGCUGCGAUACCGUAAGGUGGAGCGAAUCCCAAAAAACCGGUCUCAGUUCGGAUUGGGGUCUGCAACUCGACCCCAUGAAGUCGGAGUCGCUAGUAAUCGCAGAUCAGCAACGCUGCGGUGAAUACGUUCCCGGGCCUUGUACACACCGC